AUUGAACGCUAGCGGCAUGCCUAACACAUGCAAGUCGAACGGCAGCACGAGGAGCUUGCUCCUUGGUGGCGAGUGGCGGACGGGUGAGUAACGCGUAGGAAUCUGCCUUGUAGUGGGGGAUAACCCGGGGAAACCCGGGCCAAUACCGCAUAAUCUCUACGGAGCAAAGUGGGGGACCUUUGGCCUCACGCUAUAAGAUGAGCCUGCGUUGGAUUAGCUAGUUGGUGGGGUAAAGGCCUACCAAGGCGACGAUCCAUAGCUGGUCUGAGAGGACGACCAGCCACACUGGGACUGAGACACGGCCCAGACUCCUACGGGAGGCAGCAGUGGGGAAUAUUGGACAAUGGGCGAAAGCCUGAUCCAGCAAUGCCGCGUGUGUGAAGAAGGCCUUCGGGUUGUAAAGCACUUUUAGUGGGGAAGAAAAAGUCGGAAUUAAUACUUCCGAAAAUUGACGUUACCCACAGAAAAAGCACUGGCUAACUCUGUGCCAGCCGCCGCAGUAAAAC
rnacentral:rRNA from 1 species